rnacentral:lncRNA from 11 species
CGCCGAGUGAAACACCCUGAUAACGUAGCUCUGUGAGUUACUUACUAAGAAUUUCUAAAAACUAAGAGUCCUAAACAGUCUGAAGGCUGAAGCAUGCUAACAAGAUAAUUUUCUGACUUUUACGAAAGGGAGUGACAAUUUAUCUAAGCUAAUUUGAAACUGUGAAGAACACUUUUAUCAUAAGACUCGGCGUCACCCUUGAGUUGUUCUCCUACAGAUAUCUGCGGCAAGGCACAAGUGGGUGGCUCUGGUGCUGUGAACAAAGGCGAGGAAUGAAGAGUUUACUGCUCAUUCGUAGUGACAUAACAAAUGCAGUUGCUAUAAUUUUAAAACAGAGGCAUUUUUAAAGAUGCUGAAAGACAUACGAAGAGGAUGGGACCUUGAGGCACCCCAUUAACCAACUGUGGAAUUGAUUUCACCUGACCAUUAGUGGGCAUAAUUAUAACACCAGUUUAUAAUUCUUAGCUCAACGUUGACAACUGGUUCAGAAGAAUACCAUGGUCACUGACAAUGAAACGUCUCAGAAGGCCAAAUAACUGAUAAAGUUUCAUAACCUAAGUUGUACACUUACCAAGGGUGUUUCCUUCCCCAAACUAGGCAUAAAACCAAAUAAAAAUAAUGUAGACAGCUAUUCUAGCAGUGAUGGUUUGUUUAAAAAUAAACAUAUGAAACAAGCAGAAACAAAAUUUGCUGAAAUUUAAGGACAUUGCUCAGAUUGCAGAUCCCUUAUUGCUCUGAUAAUUUGGAAAGUUUGCACAAUUUUCCAGCUAUCCAGAUGCAUUUUUAACCCUUGACCAAUAAAUAAACAACUUUCUGAGAUGUUCUGACUAACAAUGACAUUGUUUUUAGUGACUUUUUCUGGAGAGUAUAAUGAGUGGCAAAAUAUUAAUAAAAAUCCAUAAAUGGCUUUAUUUACCAUGUACGUUCUGUACUUAAAGUGAAUAAAAUCACCUCUGAGGAAACAUCUGACUAAGCAAAA